GGUGGACCGUACAAGCUCCGUCAAAAUCAGAGAAUUUAUAGAAGAGCUCUGUUGGCAAUACUGAGAUGUGAAGUGUCAUCAGUGAACCAAGAUGGCUGCUUCCAUUUCUUCUAGCUCGCCGGGUAUGGAUUGGAGACUUAAACAUGCCGAGGACGUUUGUGCCUAAGGGGGAGAGGCAAACAGACAGAACUGCUUUGAAGGAGGCUUUUCAGUACUGUAUGGUAACAGGAUGCAGUAUCAGGUAAGCUUGCAAGAAGUUUGGAGUGAAAGUGAUGACCUUACAGGAGGCAGUCAGUAGAUCCAGAAAGUUAUCUGAUGGUAAGACCUUUGUCCCUCUCCAUGACAGUCCCCACAAGGUCUUCACAGGGGAGGAGACACAGCUUUGUGAUUACGUUAUCAAGAUUGCAAAGAUGUUCCAUUGUAUUCAUUUAACAUGAAAUGAGGUAGGCCUAGGAGUGAUAAAUGUACAAAACUGACUUUAUUUUUCCCCUGUUUUCUUAAAUAAACAAUAUUGGAUG